UCUCAUUUCUGCUGGGUCAGUUUUUCUGUGCUGCUCCAUGAGAGCUGGGGAUGACUUUCACCAACCAGCAGUGGCUGCGCUGACAUUGAGCAAGAAGAUAAGAGCCAGGAUAUCAUACAGAAAGGCGGACCGGGAGGAAGCCAGGACAGAAAGGAAAUCAUUCAACACUGAAUGUUGCAUUCUUGAUUUCUAAUAAUGCCACCUGGAGCCCUACUUUCCAAGAUACAUUAUCACCACCUUUCGAUUCCCUGCUUCAGCUGCCUUAUUUUGGGUGGAACCAACCUACAUUUGCCUCCCCAAGCAGCAACUGUCAGAUAUUUAAACAAGGAGCUGACAGUGGGAGAAGUGAGGAACAAAGCCUGAGUCUCUAAAGAAAAGUCAGAUCUC
rnacentral:lncRNA from 1 species